ensembl:lncRNA
GGUGGAAGGGGAUGUAAUGUAUUACAGGAGCUACUGCCAGUGAGACGCUGCAGAAAAGACCAGCCUCCGAGGCCAGCAAACCAAAUGGACCUCUGCAUCUGGAGAUCAAAGGGGCGGAUGUGGUCACCAUUGGCAUCCCAUACGGGUUCUGGUGCUCUGCAAAAUGCCACCCGUCCUGCUUGUACACAUUUACCUAUAAUGGGCAAACAUCCUAUGAAAGCGAGCUUGACAUUAUUUUCAAAAGGAUCGUGUCCUCAGAAGUCCUCACCUGUGAGGCUAGGAAUCCAACCACUGGAAAGACCGUCAGCAUUAGCAAGACUCUCCAAGUGGCAGAGGGACCUUCCAAAGUCAGUAUCACAGCACCUAAAAUGCUGUUGAAUGGAGUCGAGUCUACAUUUGUCUGCAAUGCUAUUUGCUACCCUUCCUGCACCUACACUUGGUACAUUGGUUUCCAAGUAUGGACAAACGCCAGCCAUGAACUUAAUUACACAACAUCACUUUACGCAAAUAAGGAGACUGUAGAGUGCCAAGUUCAAAACAGUCUCUCUAAUCUUUUUGUGGCAACCAGCGUUACCGUUUGGGUGGCACGGGGGCCUAUGGACAUGACCAUUAGUGGACCAUCAUCUGUGAC